rnacentral:rRNA from 1 species
UACGGAGGAUCCAAGCGUUAUCCGGAUUUAUUGGGUUUAAAGGGUGCGUAGGCGGCUAUUUAAGUCAGUGGUGAAAGACUCCGGCUCAACCGGAGCAGUGCCAUUGAUACUGCCUGGCUUGAGAGGAGUGGAGGCCGCCGGAACGGACGGUGUAGCGGUGAAAUGCAUAGAUAUCGUCCAGAACGCCGAUUGCGAAGGCAGGUGGCUACGCUUCGUCUGACACUGAGGCACGAAAGCGUGGGGAGCGAACAGG